rnacentral:rRNA from 1 species
UACGUAGGAUGCAAGCGUUGUCCGGAAUUAUUGGGCGUAAAGAGCGAGCAGGCGGUUUGGAAAGUUGGACGUGAAAUUUUAGGGCUUAACCCUAAAGGGUCGUCCAAAACUCCCAGACUAGAGUGCAGGAGAGGAAAGCGGAAUUCCCGGUGUAGUGGUGAAAUGCGUAGAUAUCGGGAGGAACACCAGAGGCGAAGGCGGCUUUCUGGCCUGUAACUGACGCUGAGGCGCGAAGGCUGGGGUAGCGAACAGGA